UGUUUAGUUUUCCCAGUUCCUUCUUUCCAGAGCCAGGUCUGAGGGCUGCUGUCUCUUGGGAAAGGAGACAAGUAGAAUCAGGGCAGAUUCCUGGUGGUUAGUCAAGUUGAUACACAAGGGAAUCCAUCCACAAAUCUUCCUUGAGGUCACCUUGGAACCUGGACGAGAUUUCUCCAGGCAGCAGCCCUUCUCUCCUACUGGGCACCAGGCCCAGCAUCUGCAGAAAGCUCCAAAGCAGCCUGCUCUAGCCCGGGCAGGCCAAACCACACCCGCCCCAAGUAUGCAUCACAUGCCUUCAGUGUGCCCCCUAGGGUCAAAUGCAGUGUACAAAGCACCCACAGGGGCCCGUAGCCUCAUGAGAAGGUAAGAGAAAUAAUCAGAGGGCAGAAGAGAGUAGAGCUGGUUUACGUAUCUGACAAUCCGGGGAGUCACCAGAGCGAAGAUGAUGUUAACAGUCAUUUCUCAGAGGCUUCAGUUUCCUGGGUGAGAGUGCUCUCCAUCCAGGGGCCACAGAGAAGGCUGCACCGAGGAGCAAGAUGACACUGAUGGAGGAAGAGUGGAGUCCUGAAGGCCAGGUUUAAUUUUUCCUGGGAUUGAAACGGUUUGUCUGGAGUCACCAUCCCUUUUAUAGAGAAAUUCUCAAAUGGGACCUCGGAAGACUUUCAGGUGUGGCCUCUGCAUGACAGAAGACCUGGCGUGAAAGGGAGCAUUUCGCUGCUGAAAGGAUGCCAUCAUUUACACCAUGACAAAGCUGUAGCAGUGGGCCUCACACCUUCCUAAGGACACUUAGCCACGAGCUAGCUGACCCUGGUCUGAAACCUCUGUAGCUACGAGACAAAGUAAACAUGUUCUCCUUGAAGUUAUGAGCGUCAGGUAUGUUGUCCUGCCAAAGGAAAGGAGACUAAAAUCAUGCCUUACACUCCCCCACCUGUUCUGGGAAAUGAGACCCCUUUAGGAAGUUGUACCACUUACCCUUCCUUGGGUUGCAUACUCUAUAUGUUGUGAUUCCUGUGUUUCAAAGUAGCUAACCUACUGGGUACCAAAGGAGGAUAAAGAGGUCUAAAGAUGAAAAAAUAACCAUGCAAAUCACCUCUUCUCGAUCUUUAGCACCUUUUCAUAGAUCUGACUACCAGUCACUGUUUGAAGAAGAAUUUCACGUAGGAACAGUACCACAUCAGACAACUGGUAACCCAAGACACAUGUUCUCAGGGAGCCGGAUCAGUGCAGGCCCAUGGCUCUGUAUAAAUACUGUAUGGUUGUGUUGUCUCCAGAGCCUUCAAGGAGCAAGAAAUUACUUGGCCUCUAUAAAGGUGGACUUUCUUAGCUUGGUGUACAGAAAGACCAUAUCUUUGUCUGAAGUUUCACACCUUUUUCAGAUUCCACCCUUCUUAGACAUUGCUAGUAAGUCUGGGUUUACAAUAUUUGCUCCGGCUACACAAGCACCAUGAAAAUCUAUCCUAAUAAUUACUGCUGCUAUUGUUGAACACUGACAAGUAGGAUUUUAAUUUAACUCAUUUCCAUCAGCUCAUAUAUUCAUACGAGUUUCAACAAAUAAUUAAUAUAAGAUUUACUACAUAUAGCUACUGCCAAUAGCUACAUAAUCAACAGCAAAUUGUCAUUAAUGAAGCCUUCAACUAAAGGUAGAUCUACUUAAAUGAAAAACCCAGAGAGAAUAAAUAAU